rnacentral:rRNA from 1 species
UACAGAGGUCUCAAGCGUUGUUCGGAUUCAUUGGGCGUAAAGGGCGCGUAGGCGGCGGGGUAAGUCGGGUGUGAAAUCUCAGGGCUCAACCCUGAAACUGCACUCGAUACUGCUCUGCUUGAGGACUGGAGAGGAGACUGGAAUUCACGGUGUAGCAGUGAAAUGCGUAGAUAUCGUGGAGGAAGACCAGUGGCGAAGGCGGGUCUCUGGACAGUUACUGACACUGAGGCACGAAGGCCAGGGGAGCAAACGGGG